rnacentral:rRNA from 1 species
AGUGAACGCUGGCGGUAGGCCUAACACAUGCAAGUCGAACGGCAGCACAGUAAGAGCUUGCUCUUACGGGUGGCGAGUGGCGGACGGGUGAGGAAUACAUCGGAAUCUACUUUUUCGUGGGGGAUAACGUAGGGAAACUUACGCUAAUACCGCAUACGACCUACGGGUGAAAGCAGGGGAUCUUCGGACCUUGCGCGAUUGAAUGAGCCGAUGUCGGAUUAGCUAGUUGGCGGGGUAAAGGCCCACCAAGGCGACGAUCCGUAGCUGGUCUGAGAGGAUGAUCAGCCAACCUGGAACGGAGACACGGUCCAGACUCCUACGGGAGGCAGCAGUGGGGAAUAUUGGACAAUGGGCGAAAGCCUGAGCCAGCCAUACCGCGGGGGUGAAGAAGGCUUUCGGGUUGUAAAGCCCUUUUGUUGGGAAAGAAAAGCAGCAGGUUAACACCCCGCUGUUCUGACGGUACCCAAAGAAUAAGCACCGGCGAACUUCGU